rnacentral:rRNA from 1 species
UAAUACGUAGGAGGCUAGCGUUGUCCGGAUUUAUUGGGCGUAAAGAGGGCGUAGGCGGUCUUUCAAGUCGGAUGUAAAAUCUCUCGGCUCAACUGGGAGGGACCAUUCGAUACUGUUAGGCUAGAGGGCAGCAGAGGGAGGUGGAAUUCCCGGUGUAGUGGUGAAAUGCGUAGAUAUCGGGAGGAACACCAGUGGCGAAGGCGGCCUCCUGGGCUGCUACUGACGCUGAGGCCCGUAAGCGUGGGGAGCAAACAGGAUUAGAUACCCUGGUAGUCCACGCUGUAAACCAUGGACACUGGGUAUGGGGAGUAUCGACCCUCUCUGUGCCGAAGCUAACGCUUUAAGUGUCCCGCCUGGGGACUACGGCCGCAAGGCUA